CCCUUUGCCCAUGGAAGGUUCCUGAGGCAGCUGGAGGACAGCAGUAGCUGAGGUGGACUAACGCUGGAAUGUAGGCAGGGACUGGAGCCCUUGGAGCUCUGCUUAGCCAGGAAGGGAGAGAGGAUAUGAGCCUUCCUGUGUGCCCGGGCUGUGGGCUCCCCCAGGGGCUGUAGCAGAGCCCUGAGGGGGCGUUCUGCAAGGAGAAUUGGCUGUGGAUGCUUGUGCUUGAAACUUGUCCAAUGAGUCUGAGACGCCCAAGCACCAUUCAUUUUGGAGGAAAAAGAUGGAGUAUUGCAUGCUGGGAACAAGUGCUUUCCAUAAGGUACAGCAGCAGCUCAUGAUGCCCCGUAAAGCUUUUCUUUCCCAGAAAGAAAAGCAGGCUCGUGCCAGGGAGAGGGAUAUGUUAAAAAAGAGGAGGAGGCGACAAGACUAUCUCAAAAGGAGCGUGGAGCCACAGAAAAACACAGAAACAAUCAAAUGGCACAGGGAUGAUGAGAAGAGGAGAGAAAAUGAGCAAGUUAAGGACAAGGACAUCAAGAGGAGGUGGAGACAGGAUGAGAGAGAGCGACGGAAGAGCGUGGACACCAUGACCUGGCACAGGGAGGAGGAGAAGAGGGAGAAUGAGCGAGAAACUAUGUUCCAACUUCCUGUCAACAACCUUGGCAGUUUAAGAAAGGCCCGGAAAACUGUGAAAAAAAUACUUAGUGACAUUGGUUUGGAAUACUGUAAAGAACAUAUAGAAGAUUUUAAGCAGUUUGAACCUAAUGACUUUUAUUUGAAAAACACUACAUGGGAGGAUGUGGGACUGUGGGACCCAUCGCUUACAAAAAACCAGGACUAUCGGACAAAGCCCUUUUGCUGCAGUGCAUGUCCCUUCUCCUCGAAGUUCUUUUCAGCCUACAAAAGCCACUUCCGGAAUGUUCACAGCGAAGACUUUGAGAACAGGAUCCUGCUCAACUGCCCCUACUGUACCUUCAACGCGGACAAAAAGACUUUGGAAACGCACAUUAAAAUAUUCCACGCUCCCAAUGCCAGUACACCGAGUGGAGGCAUCAGCACUUUCAAAGAUAAAAACAAACACGAGAGCCUUAAACCCAAGCAGGCUGACAGUGUGGAACAAGCUGUUUAUUACUGUAAGAAGUGCACUUACCGUGACCCGCUCUACGAAAUCGUUCGCAAGCACAUUUACAGGGAACAUUUUCAGCACGUUGCUGCUCCUUACGUAGCCAAGGGAGGUGAAAAGUCCCUCAAUGGUGCGGUGCCAUUGAGCUCCAGUGCCCGAGAGGAGGGGGGUAUCCACUGCAAGCGAUGCCUUUUCAUGCCGAAGUCCUACGAAGCUUUAGUCCAGCACGUGAUCGAAGACCACGAGCGGAUCGGAUACCAGGUCACGGCAAUGAUUGGUCACACCAACGUCGUGGUGCCGAGGUCGAAACCUUUGAUGCUGAUAGCUCCCAAACCCCAGGAUAAAAAGCCCAUGGGACUCCCUCAGAGGAUGGGUGCCCUCUCCGCUGGCAGCGUGCGCUCGCUCUCGUCGCAGCAGAUGAUGAACAGACUCACCAUACCAAAGCCCACGUUAAAUUCUGGAGUCAAUAUGAUGUCAAACGUUCACCUGCAGCAGAACAAUUAUGGGGUUAAAUCAGUACCCCCCAGCUACGUUGGUCAGCCAGGGGGGAGGCUCAGCCUCAGUGGCAAUGCGCCCGUUUCUCUUUCCCAACAAUCACAAAGCAUGAAACAGUUUUCAGCGAGUGGCAAUGGCAGGCCUUACACGCUGGGAGGGGAGCAGAGGUCGCAGGCCUCAGCCCGGUACUCGCUGCAGUCUGCCAACUCCUCCUCGCUGUCGUCGGCGCAGCUCAAGCAGACGUCGCUGUCGCAGUCCCAGGCAGCGUCCAGAGCUCUGGGUCAGUCUGGCUCCAAAUCCCCCGUGGCUGCUACGGGUCCUUCCGCUGUCAACACCUCGUCCACGCAGAAGUGGAAAAUCUGUACGAUCUGCAAUGAGCUGUUCCCCGAAAACGUGUACAGUGUCCACUUUGAGAAGGAGCACAAGGCCGAGAAGGUGCCUGCAGUGGCCAACUACAUCAUGAAAAUCCACAACUUCACGAGUAAAUGUCUCUACUGUAACCGCUACCUGCCCACGGACACGCUGCUCAACCACAUGCUGAUCCACGGGCUGUCCUGCCCCUACUGCCGCUCCACCUUCAACGACGUGGAGAAGAUGGCUGCCCACAUGCGCAUGGUGCACGUGGACGAGGAGAUGGGACCUAAAACUGACUCCACGCUGACCUUUGAUUUGACAUUGCAGCAGGGCAGCCACACCAACAUCCACCUCCUCGUCACCACCUACAACCUGCGGGACGCUCCCGCCGAGUCCGUCGCUUACCACGCCCAGAACACCCCCCCGGUCCCGCCCAAACCGCAGCCCAAAAUCCAGGAGAAAUCUGACGUACCCGUCAAAAGUUCUCCACAAGCAGCAGUGCCCUACAAAAAAGAUGUGGGGAAAACUCUGUGUCCUCUGUGCUUUUCAAUCCUGAAAGGGCCCAUCUCCGACGCGCUGGCGCAUCACCUCCGGGAGAGGCACCAGGUGAUUCAGACGGUUCACCCCGUGGAGAAGAAGCUGACCUACAAGUGCAUCCACUGCCUGGGCGUGUACACCAGCAACAUGACGGCCUCCACCAUCACACUGCACCUGGUGCACUGCAGGGGCGUGGGCAAGACCCAGAACGGGCAGGACAAAGGGACCUCGUCCCGCCUGGGCCAGUCCCCGGCGGCCGCGCCCGUGAAGCGCGCCUACGAGCACAUGGACUUCCCCCUGAUGAAGAAGAGGAAGAUGGAUGAUGAUGACUCCCCCUCUGCCUUUGAGGAGAAGCCUGAAGAACCUGUAGUUCUAGCACUGGACCCCAAGGGUCACGAAGAUGAUUCGUAUGAAGCCAGGAAAACAUUUCUUACAAAGUAUUUCAAUAAGCAGCCCUACCCCACUCGGAGAGAGAUCGAAAAGCUGGCGGCCAGUUUGUGGCUCUGGAAAUCUGAUAUUGCAUCUCACUUCAGCAACAAAAGGAAGAAAUGUGUUAGGGAUUGUGAGAAAUACAAACCUGGGGUGCUGCUGGGCUUCAACAUGAAAGAGCUGAACAAAGUCAAGCACGAGAUGGAUUUUGAUGCUGAAUGGCUGUUUGAAAACCACGACGAGAAGAAUUCCAGAGUCAAUGUCAGUAAGACUGUUGAUAAAAAAAUCAACUUAGAAAAAGACAAUGACAGUUCCUCAGACAGCUACGAAAACCUCGAGGAGGAAUACAGCGAGAGCCGCAGUCCCUUCGGCCAGCACGUCUCUGAGCUGGCUGGGAAAGCCUCGUCCAACAGCUCCGUGCAGAACCCCCAGGACAGCAUAGCCAAGGAAAUGAUGGAGGAAAACACGUUACAGGCUGCAGAGAAGGCUGAGCAAAAACCAGAGGAAAGCUCUAAAUACGAAGAGAUGAUUGCUGCUGAAGAGCCAACAAAACUGGUAGGUGAUGUUUCAGACAGUGAAGGUGAGCAGGAUGACCAGGAUGAUGCAGUGGAAUGGAAAGAUGGAGCUUCCCAGUCCGAGAGCGGGCCUGGCUCCCAGCAGGUGUCGGAUUUUGAAGAUAACGCGUUGGAGGUAAAACCAGAAGUGUGGACAGAUGAAUCUUCCCAAAGCGAGGACGCCGGGAGCAGCAAACCCACUGUGGAGGCCAAGGGGGGUGGAUCUGAGAGCGACGAAGAGCAGUCAAAGUGGAAGAAUCGUUCCUAUGGAAAAGUAGAAGGGUUUUGGUCCAAGGACCAGUCACAGUGGAAGAACAGCUCGGAGCUGGAGGAGAGCCUGGCCAGCGAGCAGAUGGAGUGGCAGAGCAGCACAAUGGACAGCGAGGACGGCGACGGCUUCGGGGCCGUGGGGGCCGAGCCCAUGCACGGCAGCCUGCCCGGGGUGGAGCUGAGCAGCCAGCAGGCGUGAGCCAGGGGACACUGCCCUGAGGGUGGCACUGCCCUGAGGGGGACACUGCCCCGAGGGGGACACUGCCCCUGAGGGGGACACUGCCCUGAGGGGACACUGCCCUGAGGGGACACUGCCCUGAGGGGGACACUGCCCCUGAGGGGACACUGCCCUAAGGGGUACACUGCCCCGAGGGGGACACUGCCCUGAGGGGGACACUGCCCCUGAGGGGACACUGCCCCUGAGGGGUACACUGCCCUGAGGGGGACACUGCCCUGAGGGUGGCACUGCCCCGAGGGGACACUGCCCCUGAGGGGGACACUGCCCCGAGGGGACACUGCCCUGAGGGUGGCACUGCCCUGAGGGGGACACUGCCAUGAGGGGGACACUGCCCCAUGGGUGGCACUGCCCUGAGGGGACACUGCCCUAAGGGGACACUGCCCUGAGGGUGGCAUUGCCCUAUGGGUGGCUCUGCCCCCGUGGAUGGUUCUGCCCUGAGGGUGGCACUACCCUGACGGUGGCACUGCCCCCCAGGUGGCACUGCCCCCCAGGUGGCUCUGUUGCUUCCCAGGUGGCACUGCCCCAUGGCUGGCACUGUCCCCCAGGUGGCUCUGUCCCCCAGGUGGCUCUAUCCCCUCCCAGGUGGCUCUGUUGCCCCCCAGGUGGCUCUGUCCCCUCCCAGGUGGCUCUGUCCCAGCACUGCUCCCCUGUCUGGGGUCCCUGUCCCUGUCCCUGCCUGCUGGCCGCGGGGCUGGCAGCCCCUGCUGGAUGAGCACAGUGAGUUAAUGUGAACGUGGCUGCCCUGGCUCUGGAGUGCACAGAGAAAAGCAGAAUUGUCUCCUCGGCGUUUGCAGCCCUCCCUGCACCCUGCCCAUGCUGAGUUGUGUCUCUCCAAGGCCCCUCUCCGGUGCCCUGUAUAGCAGACUCUGGGGACAUGGAGUUUUCAUGUAUCAUUCUGAAUAGAUGAAAUGUAUAUUUGUACAGUCUUUUAGACCUAUUCAAGUGGAGCUUAUGGAACUGUUCUUGUGUACCCAUCAUAGAUCUGUUUCUCUUUUUUAGUGUUGCCCUGCUGUGUAAUAAAUGCUGUAUCUAGUUUCCCUAGCAAAGCUUGAGACUGCUCUAGUAUCAAUUUUGACAGACUUAGUUUUUGCACAUAACCUUGUACAAUCUCCAACCAGAGCCAGCGACAUAAAAAUAUAUCUGGACUCUGUUGUAUUAUAGAAUUUUCUUGUUCUGAAUAUCCUUGACAUGACAACUGAUGAAAAACAUAUUUCAGAGCCAUUUUCUGAAAUCUUUUAAGCUAAAAAAGAAAAAUCACAUGCAAGAAACAAGUUUGCAGCUACUAAUUUUGACACCUUUUAGAUCUGUAUAAAAGUGUAUUGUGUUGAAGCAGCACACAGACAAAGUGCUGGGUUUGGAUAUUUAGUUUUAUCUUUAGUUAACACCAACAAGGUGUUGUAUUCAUUUAUACCAUCUAAUAUAUGACACACUGUUGUAGUAUGUAUAAUUUUGUGAUCUUUAUUUCCCUUUGUAUUCUUCAUUUAAGCAUCUAAAUAAAUUGCUGUAUUGUGCUUAAUGUAAA